UACAGAGGGUGCAAGCGUUGUUCGGAAUUAUUGGGCGUAAAGGGAGUGUAGGCGGCUAGGAAAGUCUUCUGUGAAAUCUACGGGCUCAGCCUGUAACGUGCAGAGGAAACUAUCUGGCUAGAGUGUUGGAGAGGAUAGGGGAAUACCCGGUGUAGAGGUGAAAUUCGUAGAGAUCGGGUGGAACACCAGUGGCGAAGGCGCCUGUCUGGCUGACAACUGACGCUGAGACUCGAAAGCAUGGGGAGCAAACAGG
rnacentral:rRNA from 1 species